rnacentral:rRNA from 1 species
ACAAGCGGCGGAGCAUGCGGAUUAAUUCGAUGCAACGCGAAGAACCUUACCAGGCUUGACAUACACCGGUAAGCCCAGAGAUGGGUGCCCCUUUGUGGUCGGUGGACAGGUGGUGCAUGGUUGUCGUCAGCUCGUGUCGUGAGAUGUUGGGUUAAGUCCCGCAACGAGCGCAACCCUCGUCCUAUGUUGCCAGCGGGUCAUGCCGGGGACUCAUGGGAGACUGCCGGGGUCAACUCGGAGGAAGGUGGGGGAUGACGUCAAAUCGUCAUGCCCCUUAUGUCUUGGGCUUCACGCAUGCUACAAUGGCCGGUACAAAGGGCUGCGAUACCGCGAGGUGGAGCGAAUCCCAGAAAGCCGGUCUCAGUUCGGAUUGGGGUCUGCAACUCGACCCCAUGAAGUCGGAGUCGCUAGUAAUCGCAGAUCAGCAACGCUGCGGUGAAUACGUUCCCGGGCCUUGU